GCUCCCGUCUUCUAGGCGGUCAGGAUACCCGGCUCUCAACCGGGCAACGGCGGGUUCGACUCCCCCCGGGAGCG
rnacentral:tRNA from 1 species